CAGCCGCCGCGGGAAUGCAGAGGGUGCGAGCGUUAAUCGGAUUUACUGGGCGUAAAGCGUGCGUAGGCGGCUUCUUAAGUCGGAUGUGAAAUCCCUGAGCUUAACUUAGGAAUUGCAUUCGAUACUGGGAAGCUAGAGUAUGGGAGAGGAUGGUAGAAUUCCAGGUGUAGCGGUGAAAUGCGUAGAGAUCUGGAGGAAUACCGAUGGCGAAGGCAGCCAUCUGGCCUAAUACUGACGCUGAGGUACGAAAGCAUGGGGAGCAAACAGGAUUAGAUACCCCCGUAGUCCCUGUCUCUUAUAC
rnacentral:rRNA from 1 species